CACUUUCCCUGACGCGACAUCCAAUCGCUUUCCCCGCCACGGAAUGUGGUUUUCGCUCACUUUCGUUUCUCCCUCGACUUUGCUUUGGUGCGUCUCCUCUGGCUCCAGAGCCGGGAAGAGAGAGAGAGAGAGAGAGAGAAGGGCGGGCGAAGCGUUUCUGCUGGGGUUUUCCGCCGAUUUCUCCCGGAUGGGUAAACAGAUCCCCGACGUCUGCGGGCCCCUGUCCCCAAAGGCGAAACUGCAGGCUGACCCAAAGGACGCGACUUGUUACACAGGCAUGAGACUUAGGAUUGGCUGCGCGGUCCUCUUCGCCCUCCCUUGCGUCUUAUCCAUCGUUUUCCUGAGUUUAUACCUGGCGAACCUGUAUUCGGAUCCGGCUCACCAGUUGAAGGAAUGCAAAGUGGAGUUGCACGACCAAACUUCCCAGAUGCGGGCCAGCCUCGGCUCCCUGGAGAAGCGCGUGGAAGAGACGGGGAGCGACCUGGAGAAGGCGAGGGUCGAAAGAGAUGGACUGCGAGCCGAACUGACGGCCGCUAACCGGAGCCUGGAGAAGACCAGGAAGGACUGGGGCUCCUGUCAGGAACAGCUGAAAAGCGUGGAAAAAAAUGCCACAUCCCAAGUGAAGGAAGCUGUUCAGCAAGAAAGGGAGAAAAACAAAGUUGCUGAAGAGGAGAUUCAACAGCUUAAGCAGCAACUCUCCAAAUUACAAGAGAUGAAGGAGCAACAACAAAUGGAGAUUCAGCAUCUGAACGAUCAGCUUAUGAAACAUAAACCUGUUGACCGCUCCAAGGGAGGCCUACUCCUCGGGCCUUCUUUGGUCCUUCUCCCACUUCUCCUUGCUAGUCUCCUCCUCUAGUCCAUUUGGACACUGCCAAGUUUGGGUGGAGGCAAGUGUCAACUCGCACCUUACUUCAUCUGCAUAACCUCACUCCUUCUGCAUGUGGUUUUGGAGACUUCUGAGCUGCACCCUGUUGGGACAGGAACCUGAUUCAGAUGCCGGUCUUGGACAUUUAUCUACUGUGACGAUAACUGAAAUUUUGGCCACAGCAGUGGAUUUGUUAGAGCCUGUAUUACAUUGCACUGUUACACAGAACUUGGCAAAUAAAGUUCAAUUUUGAUUAACCUGUACCUGGUGA
rnacentral:lncRNA from 1 species